AGCUGAGUACGUGGUGAUUUGCAUGGACCCCAGGAGGCUUACUCAAUGUGCACGUCCAAGUAAACAGCACAGGAAACGAGCCAUGAGGAUAUAAACCUGGUAAUUCUCCAUCAUAAGAAAGACAUCAUGCUGUCCACCUCAUGAAGGAAGAUGAGAUUAAGGCACACACACGGGGAGGGGCAGAAUUGGAAUACCUCGGAGAUGUGGGUUUGGUACCAGAACACUGCCAUAAAGUGAAUAUCUCAAAAAAUAGGUAGUGUCUGAGCAGUGGAGGCUGAACGCAUGAGGUAUACUGCAGAGACAAUCAUAAGAUGUGGUGGAAUCCCUACAGCACUAAAAGUGUGAGAAACAAAGUAAGGGACAAUGUAGAGGACCCAGGACACGAAUUGGGGGCAUUUUACCUGGUCUGCACAUUUGGAACCUUGGGAAUUUGAUAAACUGAGCAUACAACUAUUACUGGAAAUGAAUUGACAAAAAGUAUUUAAGAGAGUAAAAGAUUUAGCAGUGGAUGACAUCAUUGAGCAAACCACAUCCCAGGGGCCGGUUCUGAAGAUACUGACAACCUGGAGAACCAAAGGGGAACAAAUGCUGAAGUACACAAAAAUGGGAUCCAGGUUGUUUCUGUUAAGGUGAGUAGAAGAUGCAUCUUUAGCCUCUCCUGCCUUGAAGUGGCCCAUGCUUCCCCUUCGAAAGCCUGGAGUUACCACAAAUGCAUUAGAAAACUAAUGGCAUCCAUGAUGGAAUGAUAUGAAUAAAAUAUUCCAACCCUCUACGCUCUGGUUUUAUCAGGCUACAAAACUCAA